UACGGAGGGGUGCAAGCGUUGUCCGGAAUCAUUGGGCGUAAAGAGCGCGUAGGCGGCCCUGUAAGUCCGCUGUGAAAGUCAAGGGCUCAACCCUUGGAUGCCGGUGGAUACUGCAGGGCUAGAGUCCGGAAGAGGCGAGUGGAAUUCCUGGUGUAGCGGUGAAAUGCGCAGAUAUCAGGAGGAACACCGAUGGCGAAGGCAGCUCGCUGGGACGGUACUGACGCUGAGGCGCGAAAGCGUGGGGAGCAACAGG
rnacentral:rRNA from 1 species